rnacentral:miRNA from 1 species
CCAGUUACAUGUGACUUUUAAACAAACAAUGAAUACUUUGUAAAAUAUGUCCCAUGCAAUUUGUGGGACAUACUUAUCCUAAAGAGUUAUUUCUCAUUUAUCUGAAAUCCAUAUGUAACUGGGCAUCCUGUA